rnacentral:lncRNA from 1 species
GCCGCGCUGCUGUCUGGCAGCGCACACACAGAUGUGAUCAGCUCGUGUAGCACGCUUCUUGGUAGCUGCCUAUUCUUCUGCCGAGUUCAUAACUGUCAGCUCCUAAUUCACUACAGUGGAGCAGUGUUAAUUAUCAUCCAGCGGGGCCGGAGGAAGGCAGGAGGGGCUGCCACAAAAUGAAGAGCUAUUCACAAAAUAGGAAAAAUAUAAUUUAGCUGUAAGGGAAGUAAUUAUGCUUUUAUCCUCAACAGUAUUUUUUUCUGUUUUUCUCAUUCUCAGGUCUGUCUCUCUCUUUCCAUCUCUCUCUUUCUCCUCCAAACCAGUCUGUGUGUACUCUCCCGCAGGACCUAGGUGUAAUCUUUCGGCCAGGUAAAUAAAGAAGCGCUCCAGCAGCGAGGUGGAGCGCGGGGCCGAGGCGGGGCCCGAGGUGUGGCAGGGUUUCAGUGCGAGAAGGCGCUGGAGCCCACUGUGCGAUUGGCUGACAGGCUAUAGACAGGAGCGGCGCACCUAACAGAAUUCUCAAUAAAAGCAAAUAUGACAGGCA